rnacentral:rRNA from 1 species
UACGUAGGGUGCGAGCGUUAAUCGGAAUUACUGGGCGUAAAGCGUGCGUAGACGGUUAUUUAAGUCGGGUGUGAAAGCCCCGGGCUCAACCUGGGAAUUGCAUUCGAGACUGAAUAGCUAGGGUACGGUAGAGGGAAGCGGAAUUUCCGGUGUAGCGGUGAAAUGCGCAGAUAUCAGGAGGAACACCGGUGGCGAAGGCGGGUCUCUGGGCAGUAACUGACGCUGAGGAGCGAAAGCGUGGGGAGCGAUCAGG